rnacentral:tRNA from 1 species
CAGGGAGACAACAAAAUGUUUAAUAUUAUUAUUUUGUCACCUUAGGUCGAUCGGUAUCUCACAUUCUUAAUUUUUAAGGAUUUCUUUUCCUAAGUUUUUCUAGGUCACACCCAUUAUUUUCCUGGGCCAUUAGCUCAGGUGGUUAGAGCGCACCCCUGAUAAGGGUGAGGUCCCUGGUUCAAGUCCAGGAUGGCCCAUAUCUCUAUGCUGGGGGUAUAGCUCAGUUGGUAGAGCGCCUGCUUUGCAAGCAGGAUGUCAGCGGUUCGAGUCCGCUUACCUCCACUGAUUACCACCUCUUCCAUAAUUUAUAGAAGGGAAAUAAUUGGUUUGUGAUCAAAUCCUGAACGAAUCUAGCUUCCUAAUUAAAUAUUAAGAUGCUGGAUUCAUUGAAUUAAUUUCAUUGUUUUCAGAGAACCUUGACAACUGCAUAGAUUAUUUUUAAAGACAAUAAGCAUCUUUAAUGAUGCAGAUUUAUUAUUAUUGCAAUUGCAUUAGUAACAAUUCUAUUAAGCUGAUGCUUCAAUUUUUGAAGUUAUU